UACGGAGGAUGCAAGCGUUAUCCGGAAUGAUUGGGCGUAAAGCGUCCGCAGGUGGCUAUGUAAGUCUGCUGUUAAAGAGUGAGGCUCAACCUCAUAAAAGCAGUGGAAACUACAUGGCUAGAGUGCGUUCGGGGCAGAGGGAAUUCCUGGUGUAGCGGUGAAAUGCGUAGAUAUCGGAAGGAACACCAGUGGCGAAAGCGGCUUCCUGGUCCAGCACCGACGUUCAGGCACGAAAGCGUGGGGAGCAAACAGG
rnacentral:rRNA from 1 species